AGCUCUGUAAGCGUAUACCAAAGUUGUUGCAGUUAAAACGCUCGUAGUCGGAUUUUGGCGUGGUGCUACUGAGGUCCCUGAUUGGGCUCCGAGGUUAGUCCCGCCUUUGUGGAUGAGGGCGUGGUGGUGCUUAACUGUAUUGCCGCGUUUUCGCCACUGUUUACUGUGAAAAAAUUAGAGUGUUCAAAGCAGGCUUAGGCCGUUGGAUACAUUAGCAUGGAAUAAUGAGAUAGGGCCACCGCGGUCUAUUUUGUUGGUUUGCACGUUGUGGUAAUGAUUAACAGGAACGGUUGGGGGUAUUCGUAUUCAAUUGUCAGAGGUGAAAUUCUUGGAUUUGUGGAAGACGAACUACUGCGAAAGCAUUUACCAAGGAUGUUUUCAUUAAUCAAGAACGAAAGUA
rnacentral:rRNA from 1 species